rnacentral:rRNA from 1 species
AGACAGCAGUCGCCGCGGGAAUACGUAGGUGGCAAGCGUUGUCCGGAAUUAUUGGGCGUAAAGGGCUCGCAGGCGGUCUCUUAAGUCUGAUGUGAAAGCCCCCGGCUCAACCCCGUGACGCACUGGAAACUGGGAGACUUGAGUGCAGAAGAGGAGAGCGGAAUUCCACGUGUAGCGGUGACAUGCGUAGAGAUGUGGAGGAACACCAGUGGCGAAGGCGGCUCUCUGGACUGUAACUGACGCUGAGGCGCGAAAGCGUGGGGAGCGAACAGGAUUAGAUACCCGCGUAGUCCCUGUCUCUUAUACA